AAGAGUGCUCGCUUCAGCACUAAAAUUGGAACAAUACAGAGAAGAUUAGUAUGCCCCCGGCACGAAGAUGACACACAAAUUUAUGAAGCAUUCCAUAUUUUA